GACGAACGCCGGCGGCGUGCCUAAUACAUGUAAGUUGAACGCUGAAGACUGGUACUUGUACUAGUUGGAUGAGUAGCGAACGGGUGAGUAACGCGUGGGUAACCUACCUCUUAGCGGGGGACAACUAUUGGAAACGAUAGCUAAUACCGCAUAACAAUACCUAACACAUGUUAAGUAUUUGAAAGCACCAACUGGUGCACUAAGAGAUGGACCCGCGUUGUAUUAGCUAGUUGGUAGUGUAAUGGACUACCAGGGCGAUGAUACAUAGCCGACCUGAGAGGGUGAUCGGCCACAUUGGGACUGAGACACGGCCCAAACUCCUACGGGAGGCAGCAGUAGGGAAUCUUCGGCAAUGGGGGCAACCCUGACCGAGCAACGCCGCGUGAGUGAAGAAGGUUUUCGGAUCGUAAAACUCUGUUGUUAGAGAAGAACGUCAGUGAGAGUGGAAGGUUCACUGAGUGACGGUAUCUAACCAGAAAGGGACGGCUAACUACGUGCCAGCCGCCGCGGUAA
rnacentral:rRNA from 1 species